CGGCUAGCUGGUCUGGGAGGCGACGUUGAAAUACCACCCUGAUGUGCUUGACGUUCUAACCUAGGUCCGUGAUCCGGAUCGGGGACAGUGUGUGGUGGGUAGUUUGACUGGGGCGGUCUCCUCCCAAAGAGUAACGGAGGAGCACGAAGGUGCGCUCAGCACGGUCGGACAUCGUGCGUAGUGUGUAAAGGCAUAAGCGCGCUUGACUGCGAGAUCGACGGAUCAAGCAGGUACGAAAGUAGGUCUUAGUGAUCCGGUGGUUCUGUAUGGAAGGGCCAUCGCUCAACGGAUAAAAGGUACUCCGGGGAUAACAGGCUGAUACCGCCCAAGAGUUCAUAUCGACGGCGGUGUUUGGCACCUCGAUGUCGGCUCAUCACAUCCUGGGGCUGUAGCCGGUCCCAAGGGUAUGGCUGUUCGCCAUUUAAAGUGGUACGCGAGCUGGGUUCAGAACGUCGUGAGACAGUUCGGUCCCUAUCUGUCGUGGGCGUUAGAG
rnacentral:rRNA from 1 species